GAAGGAAGUUCGUAGCAGAGAAAAAUACAUUGUAAAAGAAAUUGAUCCUAUUAAAUUACUGAAGAUUCUCGAGGGAGCUGAUGUCCUAUCUCAAAUAGACUGUGAAUCUAUUACGGCGGCAUUUAACAAUUACGGAGCGACUCAUGCGACACAAUCUGAACUUCUCUAUCGCUUGAAGAAACGUGGUCCCAACGCAUUCUCGAAGUUCGUCGCAGCUCUACGCGAAGCAGGACUAGGUCAUGCUGCUCAACUUCUAGAUCCAAAGCUUCAAGGUAAAUAAUUCAAAAUGUUUCAAUGAGAAUGUUACAUUUCAAAAUACAUCUAGAACAUUAAGGACUGGAAUCUUUUGAACUGAUGAUUGAUGAAGCUUUCCAGUGUCAAUAUAGACCGAAGUGAAAUCGGAUUGUGAAAUCGAAUUAAAUUUUUAAUGGCCAAGUUUUUACUUUUAAUAGUACAAUCUGAGGUUUCUCUUCUGUACAAAUUAAACAGUUGCAAUGUUUCGUGAGAGGAAAGUUGGAUCAAUGUAGACCGAAGUGAAAUCGAAUUGUGAAAUCGAAUUAAAUUUUUAAUGGCUAAAUGGCCAUAGUUAAAUGCAUUGAUGUUGGCCCAGGAAUGUAGAAAUUAAAUGGCUUCAAAUCCAAGUUUUUACUUUAGUACAACUAAGGUUUCUCUUCUGUACAAUUGUACAAAUUAAGAGUUUCAAUGUUUCCUCAGAGGAAAGCUUUACUUUGGAUAAAAUCUACGGGUAAACACCAGGUAAAUUCCUGUAACAGGUGUGACAGCCAUUUAAAUUGCUAAACAAGGCAUUUAAUUUCUGCAUAAUAUUACAUGUGAUUAAUACGGUCAUGCGAUAAGGGGCCGGUCACGCUAGACGCCAUCUUGAAUCACGAAUUGAACCCAAAUGUUUACAUUUACAAUGACAGCAUUGCAAAAACCAAUCCGAUACAAUGUAACUCAUAUGAUGCAUGAUUUAGGGUGUAUUAUCAAGUAUAUACUCGGGUAACAGUGUUACGAGUGUUACACUAUCUUUAUUUAGGGGUGGGGUUAGGGUUAGUGUGUGUAACACUAUGUAACACGGUGGGGUUAGGGUUAGUGUGUGUAAAACUAUGUAACACUGUCAACACUCAGUAGCACUGUGUAACACUAUGUAACAAUGUGUAACACUAUGUAAGAAUAUGUAACAUUGUUUAACACUGUGUAACACUUGUAACAGUGUUACAACUGGUGCCAUAAUAAAGCCACCCUAAAUCGUGCAUGGUAUAAUGUAACUCAUAGCAUUAUAUAGAUUUUGUGCUUUUAGUUUUUUACUACAUGUAUAGUGUUAUAAAACAGUCCUUUAUGCCAUUGAAACACUACAGUCUAGGGACCGUUGAGUGAGAGCCUGUUUAAAAGUGUGGGGGGG